rnacentral:rRNA from 1 species
UACGUAGGGCGCAAGCGUUAUCCGGAAUUAUUGGGCGUAAAGAGCUCGUAGGCGGUUUGUCGCGUCUGCCGUGAAAAUCCGGGGCUCAACUCCGGAUCUGCGGUGGGUACGGGCAGACUAGAGUGAUGUAGGGGAGACUGGAAUUCCUGGUGUAGCGGUGAAAUGCGCAGAUAUCAGGAGGAACACCGGUGGCGAAGGCGGGUCUCUGGGCCGAUACUGACGCUGAGGAGCGAAAGCGUGGGGAGCGAACAGG